UAAAAAUAAGGUUUUUCAAGAUGAUCUGUUUUUGUCUCCAAACGUGUCGUUUCUGCUUUCAUGUUUUUAAAUGCAAUUUAAUGUGGAAAAAAUGCUUAGUCGUGUCUUCUCACUCGGACAAAACCCAAAGUAAUUUUAUAUAGGUUUUUAAACUCUGCUUUAAGGCCAUUUUCCACUUCAAGCUGUAUGUGAUACGAGUACGCGCUGAUAAUUUGUGUUCAUAUCCAGAAACUGUAUGACGCUGUGUUGAUGGGACUAUAUAAGAUAGUCUGGAGUGCCGUUCAUCAGAAAUAAAAAUAUGUUUAAAUGUGUGAGCAAAGCCAUUAUUCGUCUCGUUUGCUUAAUGUAGAAUAACUAAACAAUACUUGACUUUAGUUGCUAUAUCGCGACAAAAGUAUGUUGUGUGGUUGUUUUGAAGAAUUCAAAUAAAGUUGUGAAUUAAAAU